rnacentral:tmRNA from 1 species
GGGGGCGCACUGGUUUCGACGGGGACGUAUGAAGCCUUAAUUGCGGGCCGAGGCGCCGCUGGCCUCGUAAAAAGCGGCACAAAAGUAAUUGGCAACGAUUACGAAUACGCUUACGCAGCUUAAUUAAGCCGCGCGGUUGUUUUUGCAGACGCCUGAUAAGCGAAAACAACUGACAUACUUUAUCAGGCUGGCGCCGGAUGAUGUCUUCCGCUGAAGGCGCGAGAACCUUAAGGAGGGCUGGCGGCAGGAUGCCCUGACCAGGGGCGGCCCCUGCCGUAAGAACUUAUACCUGGUCUACGCCCGUAGACGUUAUGAGUGGAAUGUUUUCGGACGCGGGUUCGAUUCCCGCCGCCUCCACCA